AGAGUUUGAUCCUGGCUCAGGAUGAACGCUAGCGACAGGCUUAACACAUGCAAGUCGAGGGGCAGCACGGGAGUAGCAAUACUUGGUGGCGACCGGCGCACGGGUGAGUAACGCGUAUGCAACCUACCUAUCAGGAGGGGAAUAACCCGGCGAAAGUCGGACUAAUACCGCAUAAAACAGGGGCACCGCAUGGUGAUAUUUGUUAAAGAAAUUCGCUGAUAGAUGGGCAUGCGUUCCAUUAGGUAGUUGGUGAGGUAACGGCUCACCAAGCCGACGAUGGAUAGGGGAACUGAGAGGUUGGUCCCCCACACUGGUACUGAGACACGGACCAGACUCCUACGGGAGGCAGCAGUGAGGAAUAUUGGUCAAUGGGCGGGAGCCUGAACCAGCCAAGUCGCGUGAAGGAAGAAGGAUCUAUGGUUCGUAAACUUCUUUUGCAGGGGAAUAAAGUGCAGGACGUGUCCUGUUUUGUAUGUACCCUGAGAAUAAGGAUCGGCUAACUCCGUGCCAGCCGCGGC
rnacentral:rRNA from 1 species